CUUCGGGUUGGCCACGGUGAACAACGAAGCAGUUCCUCACAGCGACCGGAUCAAAUAUAGAUACAAAUAUUCAGUAGCUAAUAACUCUUUAGUACCUUUAAGUUGUGUGUUUAGUAGCUGAUGCUGAAACGGCUGUGAGGGAGAGUAAAGACCCGCGUCAUCUGUCCAUCUUUUCCGUCUAAUGCUUAAUUUAUAAAUUGAAUUCAUCAGAGCAGCGCAUGGUUGGCCAGUGAUGGAGGAAAGUAAGACUGAUCAUGUAACUCCACCCACAACUCCAAACAAAGCCACGCCCUCUCCGCCAGUGUCCUAUGAACGGCCGAUGGCUUUGAGCAGCCCAGAAUUACUAAAAGAAUUGAAACAAGCGCAUGCGCUCAAACACGUCCCUGCACACACGGGACUGACCACAGUGUUCUGUGGACGAGGACGACAGAAUCAGGAGGCAGAGAGUCGGUCAAAAAACCUGCAUUGAAACGGCAGCAAUCACAGCGACUGUUCGGCGGUGAUUCCAGUUGCUCUGUCAUUGGCUGUUUGAGCUGUCUGUCAGUGAUUAGCCCCACCCCCUUGGUGAUGUGGGCGGGUGGAUUGCAUCUCUGUGAGCUGCUCUGGUUCUGAGGAUCUUCAGUGAACACGUCUGUCAUGUUUGUGUGCGAGUAUGAAAGCAGUCUGUCAAUCUGUAGCGCAUCUGAUGUUAAAACAGUGUGUGACUGUGUGUCAUAUCAAAUAUGAAAUAAAAAUCAAAACUGAGAUUGUGUGUGUGUGUGUGUGUGUGUGUGUGUGUGUGUGUUUGUGUGUCAGAAAUGAAGAGCUGACUUCUUUCAGUUUAUUAAGUGGCCAGUUGGAAUUUGAAUGGGAAUUAAUG
ensembl:lncRNA